UUGGAAAACAAAAACUGAAUCUGGGCUCGAACUUCAUGUAAACGAGUUGCAGUUUACGAUCCGAACUAAGACUAGGUUUUAGAGAUGAGCGUGCUUUCACAAGUUAGCGACUCUCUGUCUAAUCAUUGUAGUAGGUGUGUCCCAGAACAUAACAGGCAUGUUCACUUGACGUUGUCCUCACAUUCCUCCGAUUUAUCAUUGGCAUUCUCUUUAGAGAAUCGAAAAACACAA
rnacentral:rRNA from 1 species